UACGUAGGGGGCGAGCGUUGUCCGGAGUGACUGGGCGUAAAGAGCACGUAGGCGGUAAUAUAAGUCGGAUGUGAAACACCCGGGCUUAACCCGGGUAUUGCAAUCGAAACUGUAAUACUUGAGUACAGGAGAGGAAAGCGGAAUUCCCAGUGUAGCGGUGAAAUGCGUAGAUAUUGGGAGGAACACCAGUGGCGAAGGCGGCUUUCUGGACUGGAUCUGACGCUGAGGUGCGAGAGCUAGGGGAGCGAACAGGAUUAGAUACCCUGGUAGUCCUAGCCGUAAACGAUGGAUACUAGGUGUUGGUGGUUUAGAUACUAUCAGUGCUGCAGCUAACGCAAUAAGUAUCCCGCCUGGGGAGUAUGGUCGCAAGAUUGAA
rnacentral:rRNA from 1 species